UUUUUUUAUGGAGAGUUUGAUCCUGGCUCAGGACGAACGCUGGCGGCGUGCUUAACACAUGCAAGUCGAACGGAAAGGCCUAGCUUGCUAGGUACUCGAGUGGCGAACGGGUGAGUAACACGUGGGUGAUCUGCCUCGUACUUCGGGAUAAGCCUGGGAAACUGGGUCUAAUACUGGAUAGGACCAUGCUUUAGUGUGUGUGGUGGAAAGUUUUUUCGGUACGAGAUGAGCCCGCGGCCUAUCAGCUUGUUGGUGGGGUAAUGGCCUACCAAGGCGUCGACGGGUAGCCGGCCUGAGAGGGUGGACGGCCACAUUGGGACUGAGAUACGGCCCAGACUCCUACGGGAGGCAGCAGUGGGGAAUAUUGCACAAUGGGCGCAAGCCUGAUGCAGCGACGCCGCGUGGGGGAUGACGGCCUUCGGGUUGUAAACCUCUUUCGCUAGGGACGAAGCUUUUUGUGACGGUACCUAGAUAAGAAGCACCGGCUAACUACGUGCCAGCAGCCGCGGUAAUACGUAGGGUGCGAGCGUUGUCCGGAAUUACUGGGCGUAAAGAGCUCGUAGGUGGUUUGUCGCGUCGUCUGUGAAAUUCCGGGGCUUAACUUCGGGCGUGCAGGCGAUACGGGCAUAACUUGAGUGCUGUAGGGGAGACUGGAAUUCCUGGUGUAGCGGUGGAAUGCGCAGAUAUCAGGAGGAACACCGAUGGCGAAGGCAGGUCUCUGGGCAGUAACUGACGCUGAGGAGCGAAAGCAUGGGGAGCGAACAGGAUUAGAUACCCUGGUAGUCCAUGCCGUAAACGGUGGGCGCUAGGUGUGAGGGUCUUCCACGACUUUCGUGCCGUAGCUAACGCAUUAAGCGCCCCGCCUGGGGAGUACGGCCGCAAGGCUAAAACUCAAAGGAAUUGACGGGGGCCCGCACAAGCGGCGGAGCAUGUGGAUUAAUUCGAUGCAACGCGAAGAACCUUACCUGGGCUUGACAUAUGCAGGAUCGGCGUAGUGAUACGUUUUCCCUUGUGGUCUGUAUACAGGUGGUGCAUGGUUGUCGUCAGCUCGUGUCGUGAGAUGUUGGGUUAAGUCCCGCAACGAGCGCAACCCUUGUCUUAUGUUGCCAGCACGUGAUGGUGGGGACUCAUGAGAGACUGCCGGGGUUAACUCGGAGGAAGGUGGGGAUGACGUCAAAUCAUCAUGCCCCUUAUGUCCAGGGCUUCACACAUGCUACAAUGGUCGGUACAACGCGCUGCGAGCCUGUGAGGGUGAGCGAAUCGCUGAAAGCCGGCCUCAGUUCGGAUUGGGGUCUGCAACUCGACCCCAUGAAGUCGGAGUCGCUAGUAAUCGCAGAUCAGCAACGCUGCGGUGAAUACGUUCCCGGGCCUUGUACACACCGCCCGUCACGUCAUGAAAGUUGGUAACACCCGAAGCCAGUGGCCUAACCCUUGUGGGGGGAGCUGUCGAAGGUGGGAUCGGCGAUUGGGACGAAGUCGUAACAAGGUAGCCGUACCGGAAGGUGCGGCUGGAUCACCUCCUUUCUAAGGAG
rnacentral:rRNA from 1 species